rnacentral:rRNA from 1 species
GACGAACGCUGGCGGCGUGCUUAACACAUGCAAGUCGAGCGGUAAGGCCCUUCGGGUACGACGAGCGGCGAACGGGUGAGUAACACGUGGGUGACCUGCCUCUAGCUCUGGGAUAAGCCUGGGAAACUGGGUCUAAUACCGGAUAUGACUCCACGGCGCAUGUUGUGGGGUGGAAAGCCUUGUGUGGCUAGAGAUGGGCCCGCGGCCUAUCAGCUUGUUGGUGGGGUGAUGGCCGUACCAAGGCGACGACGGGUAGCCGGCCUGAGAGGGCGACCGGCCACACUGGGACUGAGACACGGCCCAGACUCCUACGGGAGGCAGCAGUGGGGAAUCUUGCGCAAUGGGCGAAAGCCUGACGCAGCGACGCCGCGUGAGGGAUGACGGGCCU